UACGUAGGGUGCAAGCGUUGUCCGGAAUUAUUGGGCGUAAAGAGCUCGUAGGCGGUUUGUCGCGUCUGCUGUGAAAACCCGAGGCUCAACCUCGGGCCUGCAGUGGGUACGGGCAGACUAGAGUGCGGUAGGGGAGAUUGGAAUUCCUGGUGUAGCGGUGGAAUGCGCAGAUAUCAGGAGGAACACCGAUGGCGAAGGCAGAUCUCUGGGCCGUAACUGA
rnacentral:rRNA from 1 species